UACGGGGGGGGCAAGCGUUGUUCGGAAUUACUGGGCGUAAAGGGUGCGUAGGCGGCCACGCACGUCCGUUGUGAAAUCGCCCGGCUCAACUGGGCGGGGUCAGCGGAUACGGUGUGGCUCGAGCAAGCUAGGGGGCAAUGGAAUUCCCGGUGUAGUGGUGAAAUGCGUAGAUAUCGGGAGGAACACCAGUGGCGAAGGCGACUUCCUGGCCUGUUCUUGACGCUGAGGCGCGAAGGCUAGGGGAGCAAACGGG
rnacentral:rRNA from 1 species